AGUGAACGCUGGCGGUAGGCCUAACACAUGCAAGUCGAACGGCAGCACAGAGGAGCUUGCUCCUUGGGUGGCGAGUGGCGGACGGGUGAGGAAUACAUCGGAAUCUACUCUGUCGUGGGGGAUAACGUAGGGAAACUUACGCUAAUACCGCAUACGACCUACGGGUGAAAGCAGGGGACCUUCGGGCCUUGCGCGAUUGAAUGAGCCGAUGUCGGAUUAGCUAGUUGGCGGGGUAAAGGCCCACCAAGGCGACGAUCCGUAGCUGGUCUGAGGGGAUGAUCAGCCACGCUGGAACUGAGACACGGUCCAGACUCCUACGGGAGGCAGCAGUGGGGAAUAUUGGACAAUGGGCGCAAGCCUGAUCCAGCCAUACCGCGUGGGUGAAGAAGGCCUUCGGGUUGUAAAGCCCUUUUGUUGGGAAAGAAAUCCAGCUGGUUAAUACCCGGUUGGGAUGACGGUACCCAAAGAAUAAGCACCGGCUAACUUCGUGCCAGCCGCCGCGGUAA
rnacentral:rRNA from 1 species